GGGUCAGUAGGUUGGUCGUGCCACCGGUACGUACUGGUCUCACUGAUUCCUCCUUCCUGAAGAACCGUAAUGCCAUUAAUUUGGUGUUGCGGGGAAACAGGAAGGUCACUUUGAAAAAAUUAGAGUGUUUAAAGCAAGCUAACGCUUGAAUACAUUAGCAUGGAAUAAUGAAAUAGGACGAUCGAUCCUAUUUUGUUGGUUUCUAGGAUUGACGUA
rnacentral:rRNA from 1 species